rnacentral:rRNA from 1 species
UCGAGCGGAAGGCCCCUUCGGGGGUACUCGAGCGGCGAACGGGUGAGUAACACGUGGGCAACCUGCCCCAGAGACCGGGACAACAGUUCGAAAGGACUGCUAAUACCGGAUGAUGUGUAGUCUGCUAAGUGGAUUACACCAAAAGGUAGCUUAGGCUUCCGCUCUAGGAUGGGCCCGCGCCGGAUUAGCUUGUUGGUGAGGUAACGGCUCACCAAGGCGACGAUCCGUAGCUGGUCUGAGAGGACGAUCAGCCACACUGGGACUGAGACACGGCCCAGACUCCUACGGGAGGCAGCAGUAGGGAAUCUUGCGCAAUGGGCGGAAGCCUGACGCAGCAACGCCGCGUGAGCGAAGAAGGCCUUCGGGUCGUAAAGCUCUGUCAGGAGGGACGAAGCCACUCGGGUUAAUAGCCCAGAGGGUGACGGUACCUCCAGAGGAAGGUCCGGCUAACUACGUGCCAGCAGCCGCGGUAAUACGUAGGGACCAAGCGUUGUCCGGAAUCAUUGGGCGUAAAGCGCGUGUAGGCGGCUUCUUAAGUCCGGUGUGAAAUCUGAGGGCUCAACCCUCAGCCUGCAUUGGAAACUGGGUCGCUAGAGUCCGGAAGAGGAGACUGGAAUUCCUGGUGUAGCGGUGAAAUGCGCAGAUAUCAGGAAGAACACCCGUGGCGAAGGCGGGUCUCUGGGACGUGACUGACGCUGAGACGCGAAAGCGUGGGGAGCAAACAGGAUUAGAUACCCUGGUAGUCCACGCCGUANACGAUGGGCACUAGGUGUGGGGGNUGUCGACUCCCUCCGUGCCGAAGCUAACGCAUUAAGUGCCCCG